GAUGAACGCUGGCGGCAUGCUUUACACAUGCAAGUCGAACGGUAACAGGUUAAGCUGACGAGUGGCGAACGGGUGAGUAAUGCAUCGGAACGUGCCCGGUCGUGGGGGAUAACGCAGCGAAAGCUGCGCUAAUACCGCAUACGAUCUGAGGACGAAAGCGGGGGACCGUAAGGCCUCGCGCGAUCGGAGCGGCCGAUGUCAGAUUAGGUAGGUGGAGGGGUAAAGGCUCACCAAGCCGACGAUAUGUAGCUGGUCUAAGAGGGCGACCAGCCACACGGGGACUGAGACACGGCCCAGACUCCUACGGGAGGCAGCAGUGCGAAAUUUUGGACAAUGGGCGCAAGCCUGAUCCAGCAAUGCCGCGUGCAGGCAGAAGGCCUUCGGGUUGUAAACUGCUUUUGUACGGAGCGAAAAGGCUCUCUCUAAUACAGGAGGCUCAUGACGGUACCGUAAGAAUAAGCACCGGCUAACUACGUGCCAGCCGCCGCCGUAACAC
rnacentral:rRNA from 1 species